AUCUAGACGAGGGACUCAAACACCUCUCGCUGGCUUCUGCGUCAAUGACUGCCAAAGGGCUUGGCUGUCUGAGUCAGGUGUUGUCUUCCAAUCAGCAGUUUUCCUCCUCCCUGACACACCUUGAUUUGUCUGGAAACCCAGGAUCUCUGGUCACUGAAGACGCCACGUUUCUCUUCAAGUUCCUGUCCAGUACGAAUACUCUGUCUUAUCUGGACCUCAGUGAUACCAGCUGCCCUCUGGACACG